rnacentral:tRNA from 1 species
GUGGCCGUAGCUCAGCUGGCUAGAGCACCGGGUUGUGAUCCUGGAGGUCGCGGGUUCGAGCCCCGUCGGUCACC